GAUGAACGCUAGCGGCAGGCCUAACACAUGCAAGUCGAGGGAGAAGCCCUUUCGGGGGCAGAAACCGGCGCACGGGUGCGUAACGCGUAUGCAACCUACCUUUCACAGGGGGAUAGCCCGAAGAAAUUUGGAUUAAUACCCCAUAAUAUUAUUGGAUGGCAUCAUUUGAUAAUUAAAACUGCGGUGGUGAAAGAUGGGCAUGCGUCCUAUUAGCUAGUUGGAGUGGUAACGGCACCCCAAGGCUACGAUAGGUAGGGGUCCUGAGAGGGAGAUCCCCCACACUGGUACUGAGACAGGGACCAGACUCCUACGGGAGGCAGCAGUGAGGAAUAUUGGUCAAUGGUCGGAAGACUGAACCAGCCAUGCCGCGUGCAGGAAGAAUGCCUUAUGGGUUGUAAACUGCUUUUAUAUGGGAAGAAUAAGGCGUACGUGUACGUUGAUGACGGUACCAUAUGAAUAAGCAUCGGCUAGCUCCGUG
rnacentral:rRNA from 1 species